ACGAACGCUGGCGGCGUGCCUAAUACAUGCAAGUAGAACGCUGAAGGAGGAGCUUGCUCUUCUGGAUGAGUUGCGAACGGGUGAGUAACGCGUAGGUAACCUGCCUGGUAGCGGGGGAUAACUAUUGGAAACGAUAGCUAAUACCGCAUAAGAGUAGAUGUUGCAUGACAUUUACUUAAAAGGUGCAAUUGCAUCACUACCAGAUUGACCUGCGUUGUAUUAGCUAGUUGGUGGGGUAACGGCUUACCAAGGCGACGAUACAUAGCCGACCUGAGAGGGUGAUCGGCCACACUGGGACUGAGACACGGCCCAGACUCCUACGGGAGGCAGCAGUAGGGAAUCUUCGGCAAUGGACGGAAGUCUGACCGAGCAACGCCGCGUGAGUGAAGAAGGUUGUCGGAUCGUAAAGCUCUGUUGUAAGAGAAGAACGAGUGUGAGAGUGGAAAGUUCACACUGUGACGGUAUCUUACCAGAAAGGGACGGCUAACUACGUG
rnacentral:rRNA from 1 species